ensembl:snRNA U6 U6 spliceosomal RNA
GUACUCUCCUCAGCAGCAUAUAUACUGAAAUUGGAACCGUACAAAAAAAAUUAGGGCCCCUGCACAAGGAUGGCACACAAAGUUAUGAAGCCUUCCAUAUGUUU